rnacentral:rRNA from 1 species
UACGAAGGGGGCUAGCGUUGUUCGGAAUUACUGGGCGUAAAGCGCGCGUAGGCGGUGAUCUUUGUCAGAGGUGAAAGCCUGGGGCUCAACUCCAGAAUUGCCUUUGAAACGGGGAUCGCUUGAGUCCGAGAGAGGAUGGCGGAAUUCCGUAGUGUAGAGGUGAAAUUCGUAGAUAUUAGGAAGAACACCGGUGGCGAAGGCGGCCAUCGUGGCUCGGUACUGACGCUCGGCGCGAAAGCGUGGGGAGCAAACAGG